GUCUCCUCGAACACUAACUAUUAGGGUCAGUUCUAUUAAAGUAUUACGUUUUAAAAACUCAGGUUCUCUCUAAAAAUCAGUAGCUUUACUACGAAUUCAGCCUGUCCAACACUUUACAGACUAC